UACGGAGGGUGCGAGCGUUAAUCGGAAUUACUGGGCGUAAAGGGCGCGUAGGCGGCUUCUUAAGCGGGAUGUGAAAUCCCCGGGCUUAACCUGGGCACUGCAUUUCGAACUGGGUGGCUUGAGUUUUGGAGAGGAGAGUGGAAUUCCCGGUGUAGCGGUGAAAUGCGUAGAGAUCGGGAGGAACAUCAGUGGCGAAGGCGGCUCUCUGGCCAAAAACUGACGCUGAGGCGCGAAAGCGUGGGGAUCAAACAGG
rnacentral:rRNA from 1 species